rnacentral:rRNA from 1 species
AUUGAACGCUGGCGGCAGGCCUAACACAUGCAAGUCGAAUGGUAACAGGAAACAGCUUGCUGUUUCGCUGACGAGUGGCGGACGGGUGAGUAAUGUCUGGGAAACUGCCUGAUGGAGGGGGAUAACUACUGGAAACGGUAGCUAAUACCUCAUAACGUCGCAAGCCCAAAGAGGGGGACCUUCGGGCCUCUGGCCAUCAGAUGUGCCCAGCUGGGCUUAGCUGGUAGGUGGGGUAACGGUUCACCUAGGCGACGAUCCCUAGCUGGUCUGAGAGGAUGACAAGCCACACUGGAACUGAGACACGGUCCAUACUCCUACGGGAGGCAGCAGUGGGGAAUAUUGCACAAUGGGCGCAAGCCUGAUGCAGCCAUGCCGCGUGUAUGAAGAAGGCCUUCGGGUUGUAAAGUACUUUCAGCGGAGAGGAAGGGAGUAAAGUUAAGACCUUGGCUCAUUGACGUUACCCGCAGAAGAAGCACCGGCUAACUCCGUG